UGGGGAAUAUUGGACAAUGGGCGCAAGCCUGAUCCAGCCAUGCCGCGUGAGUGACGAAGGUCUUCGGAUUGUAAAACUCUUUUGGCGGGGACGAUAAUGACGGUACCCGCAGAAUAAGCCCCGGCUAACUUCGUGCCAGCAGCCGCGGUAAUACGAAGGGGGCUAGCGUUGUUCGGAAUCACUGGGCGUAAAGCGCACGUAGGCGGAUGUGCCAGUCAGGGGUGAAAUCCCGGAGCUCAACUCCGGAACUGCCUCUGAUACUGCACGUCUUGAGUUCGAGAGAGGUGGGUGGAAUUCCUAGUGUAGAGGUGAAAUUCGUAGAUAUUAGGAAGAACACCGGUGGCGAAGGCGGCCACUGGCUCGAUACUGACACUGAGGCGCGAAAGUGAGGGGAGCAAACAGGAUUAGAUACCCAAGUAGUCCCUGAGCGGGCUGGCAAGGCGCAU
rnacentral:rRNA from 1 species